rnacentral:rRNA from 1 species
CGUCGCAAGACCAAAGUGGGGGACCUUCGGGCCUCAUGCCAUCAGAUGUGCCCAGAUGGGAUUAGCUAGUAGGUGGGGUAACGGCUCACCUAGGCGACGAUCCCUAGCUGGUCUGAGAGGAUGACCAGCCACACUGAAACUGAGACACGGUCCAGACUCCUACGGGAGGCAGCAGUGGGGAAUAUUGCACAAUGGGCGCAAGCCUGAUGCAGCCAUGCCGCGUGUGUGAAGAAGGCCUUCGGGUUGUAAAGCACUUUCAGCGGGGAGGAAGGC